rnacentral:rRNA from 1 species
AUUGAACGCUGGCGGCAGGCCUAACACAUGCAAGUCGAACGAGCGGCGGACGGGUGAGUAAUGUAUGGGGAACUGCCCGAUAGAGGGGGAUAACUACUGGAAACGGUAGCUAAUACCGCAUACUAUCGGAUGUGCCCAUAUGGGAUUAGCUAGUAGGUGGGGUAAAGGCUCACCUAGGCGACGAUCCCUAGCUGGUCUGAGAGGAUGAUCAGCCACACUGGAACUGAGCCACGGGCCAGACUCCUACGGGAGGCAGCAGUGGGGAAUAUUGCACAAUGGGCGCAAGCCUGAUGCAGCCAUGCCGCGUGUAUGAAGAAGGCCUUAGGGUUGUAAAGUACUUUCAGCGGGGAGGCGUUACCCGCAGAAGAAGCACCGGCUAACUCCGUGCCAGCAGCCGCGGUAAUUC